rnacentral:lncRNA from 1 species
CUGAGAAGAAAGCCAAUGGUGUGGCUUAAAGAUGUAAGUUCUAGAACUGUUGUAUUGUGAGAAAUCCAACCUGAGGAUAAAGAUGACGUAUAGUUGAGGAUGGAGUGGACAGAAUUGUAUAGAAAUGGAGCUACAGGUCUAUGAACAUGAUAACCAUGCAUAAGUCAAACGAUGCCAGAAGAUCUUCCUCCAGGGAAGCCUCCCCACUUCCCUCUCCCACUGCUUGGCUUGACAUUCUCCUAAGAAGAGGAGAGCCCUCAAGACCACUGCUGAGGCCAAGAAUUUCAUCCUUCUAUUUCUAUCCUUUCUUAUUUCCACUUAGUCACCUUAGAAACAAAAGAAAUCAUCCGCAUUCUGCAAAGAUCCUACCGCUCCUGCACAAAGUAAAAUGUCCGAAGCGGAUAAAAUGGCAUAUAUGAAAGAUCAUCCAGUAGACUGUUUUAUUUCCUUGGAAAGCCUUCACAUUUUAAACAAAGUCAUUUAUUAUCUCUCGUAUUCUAAUUGCCCAAUUACAACCUUUAUUCAAGCAUUACACUCCUUAUGAUGAAAUGGAUCCCUCACAGCCCUGUCCAUGAUUCUCAUACAAUAAGUUGAGAUAAAAGCCUGCUUGGAAACUUGUGUUAGUCACAUAAUUAAGUCAACCAGUGGAAGCGUAACAAGGCUCUCAGAAAGAGCUCUCAGACUGGAUGUUCCUACGGCUCCAUCUGACAAUGUCGUGUGCUAUCCACACAUUUAAAACUCAUAAUGGCUUUCAAUUCACUUGUCUUCAGAUUCUUCAGCUUCCAUCUUCCAGAGGAAAAAAAAAAGACCGAUAAAUUCAAAACGUGUUGUGCUGAGCACUUUUUUCCAUUAAUGUUUAAA